rnacentral:rRNA from 1 species
UACGAGGGGGGCGAGCGUUGUUCGGAAUUACUGGGCGUAAAGGGCGCGUAGGCGGUGAUCUUUGUCAGAGGUGAAAGCCCGGGGCUCAACUCCGGAAUUGCCUUUGAAACGGGAUUGCUUGAGUCCGAGAGAGGAUGGCGGAAUUCCUAGUGUAGAGGUGAAAUUCGUAGAUAUUAGGAAGAACACCGGUGGCGAAGGCGGCCAUCUGGCUCGGUACUGACGCUGAUGCGCGAAAGCGUGGGGAGCAAACAGGG